rnacentral:misc_RNA from 1 species
AACGCAUAUUGCGCCCCUUGGUAUUCCGGGGGGCACACCUGUUCGAGCGCCAUUUCAACCCUCAAGUUUAACUUGGUGUUGGGUGAGGUCAUUUAGUUGACCCUCCCGUAACUAGUAGGCGGUUAUGAUCAAUUUCCCUCAGCGUAGCAAGCUAACGCACCCGCUCGGGGAUUUUGUCUAACCUUUUUGCCAAAAAUCCUUUUUUCUUUCAAGGUUUGGCCUCGGAUCAGGUGGGGACACCCGCUGAACUUAA